rnacentral:rRNA from 1 species
GAUGAACGCUGGCGGCGUGCCUAAUACAUGCAAGUCGAGCGAACAGACGAGGAGCUUGCUCCUCUGACGUUAGCGGCGGACGGGUGAGUAACACGUGGAUAACCUACCUAUAAGACUGGGAUCACUUCGGGAAACCGGCGCUAAUACCGGAUAAUAUCCUGCACCGCAUGGUUCAAUAGUGAAAGACGGCUUUGCUGUCUCUUAUAGAUGGUUCCGCGCCGCUUUAGCUAGUUGGUAAGGUAACGGCUUAUCAAGGGAACGAUGCGUAGCCGACCUGAGAGGGUGAUAGGCCACCCGGGAACGGAGACACGGUCCAGACUCCUACGGGAGGCAGCAGAAGGGAAUGUUCCGCAAUGGGCGAAAACAUGACGGAGCAACGCCGCGUGAGUGAUGGAGGUCUUCGGAUCGUAAAACUCUGUUAUUAGGGAAGAACAGAUGUGUAAGUAACUAUGCACGUAUUGACGGUACCGGAUCAGAAAGCCACGGCUAACUACGUG